rnacentral:rRNA from 1 species
UGGGGAAUUUUGGACAAUGGGCGAAAGCCUGAUCCAGCAAUGCCGCGUGUGUGAAGAAGGCCUUCGGGUUGUAAAGCACUUUUGUCCGGAAAGAAAUCCUUGGCUCUAAUACAGUCGGGGGAUGACGGUACCGGAAGAAUAAGCACCGGCUAACUACGUGCCAGCAGCCGCGGUAAUACGUAGGGUGCAAGCGUUAAUCGGAAUUACUGGGCGUAAAGCGUGCGCAGGCGGUUUGCUAAGACCGAUGUGAAAUCCCCGGGCUCAACCUGGGAACUGCAUUGGUGACUGGCAGGCUAGAGUAUGGCAGAGGGGGGUAGAAUUCCACGUGUAGCAGUGAAAUGCGUAGAGAUGUGGAGGAAUACCGAUGGCGAAGGCAGCCCCCUGGGCCAAUACUGACGCUCAUGCACGAAAGCGUGGGGAGCAAACAGGAUUAGAUACCCUGGUAGUCCACGCCCUAAACGAUGUCAACUAGUUGUUGGGGACUUCAUUUCCUUAGUAACGUAGCUAACGCGUGAAGUUGACCGCCUGGGGAGUACGGUCGCAAGAUUAAAACUCAAAUGAAUUGACGGGG